rnacentral:lncRNA from 1 species
CUCCUCUCUUCCUCCUCUAGAUCUCUUCAUCCUUUGGAGCAUCCAAGGUGCUUGAAGAAAAAGAAAGAGAUUAACCGUUGAAGUUGCUUGUAGGUUAGCACUUCCAAGCCCCUGAUCUAUACCAGUCUUCGCGUGGAUUUUCUUGUAGAGGUCAGAUGACUUCGUGUGGCUACAAGUGACCUGAAGAAUAUUUUUUUCAAGUGUUGGAGCAGCAAAGAUCAAGAUCUCAUUGGUUUGGUAAUUAUUUCUAACCUGUCUUGAUCAUAUCAUUAGAUCUAAUAGUUAGAUCUAGAAUUUCAACAUCGAUGAGAUCAAUGUGAG